UAAAAUAACAAGUUACAGAUCUUCCAGACCUUGCUGUCAUACAUGUUGAAUGCAUGCCGUUAAAAUCAAUAACUGUGAUUAUUAAAAUAAGCAAACAUCAUUAGGCCUACGCUGUAUUCUGGAUGACACGUUUCUUGUUACCGGUCGCGACAUCUCUAUUACGCUAAUUGAAUAUUUGGUAUUAUUAUUAUGUUUGAGGUGUAUGAUAGAUUAUGUAACGGUUUGUUUACAUCAGAAGACAGAAAACGGCUUAGCCACAAUUUUAGCCACUUGCCAAUUUUAUUAGUCAUUUUUUGUAAAAAUUAGCCAAUGACUAAUUUGGCUACCGACAGCGCGAGCCCUGUCUAAGCCCAGUUGUAAUGUCAGUGUUAUAAUAUGUUAGGUAUUCUAAGCCCAGUUGUAAUGUCAGUGUUAUAAUAUGUUAGGUAUUCUAAGCCCAGUUGUAAUGUCAGUGUUACAAUAUGUUAGGUAUUCUAAGCCCAGUUGUAAUGUCAGUGUUACAAUACGUUAGGUAUUCUAAGCCCAGUUAUAAUGUCAGUGUUACAAUACGUUAGGUAUUCUAAGCCCAGAUGUAAUGUCAGUGUUAUAAUGCGUUAGGUAUUCUAAGACCAGACCAGAUGUAAUGUCAGUGUUACAAUAUGUUAGGUAUUCUAAGCCUUGUUGUAAUGUCAGUGUUAUAAUACGUUAGGUAUUCUAAGCCCAGUUGUAAUGUCAGUGUUAUAAUGCGUUAGGUAUUCUAAGCCCAGUUGUAAUGUCAGUGUUAUAAUGCGUUAGGUAUUCUAAGAUCAGUUGUAAUGUCAGUGUUAUAAUGCGUUAGGUAUUCUAAGAUCAGUUGUAAUGUCAGUGUUAUAAUGCGUUAGGUAUUCUAAGCCCAGUUGUAAUGUCAGUGUUAUAAUGCGUUAGGUAUUCUAAGAUCAGUUGUAAUGUCAGUGUUAUAAUGCGUUAGGUAUUCUAAGAUCAGUUGUAAUGUCAGUGUUAUAAUGCGUUAAGGUAUUCUAAGCCCAGUUGUAAUGUCAGUGUUAUAAUGCGUUAGGUAUUCUAAGAUCAGUUGUAAUGUCAGUGUUAUAAUGCGUUAAGGUAUUCUAAGCCCAGUUGUAAUGUCAGUGUUACAAUACGUUAGGUAUUCUAAGAUCAGUUGUAAUGUCAGUGUUAUAAUGCGUUAGGUAUUCUAAGAUCAGUUGUAAUGUCAGUGUUAUAAUGCGUUAGGUAUUCUAAGCCCAGUUGUAAUGUCAGUGUUAUAAUGCGUUAGGUAUUCUAAGAUCAGUUGUAAUGUCAGUGUUAUAAUGCGUUAGGUAUUCUAAGAUCAGUUGUAAUGUCAGUGUUAUAAUGCGUUACGGUAUUCUAAGCCCAGUUGUAAUGUCAGUGUUAUAAUGCGUUAGGUAUUCUAAGAUCAGUUGUAAUGUCAGUGUUAUAAUGCGUUAAGGUAUUCUAAGCCCAGUUGUAAUGUCAGUGUUACAAUACGUUAGGUAUUCUAAGAUCAGUUGUAAUGUCAGUGUUAUAAUACUUUAGGUAUUCCAAGCCCAGUUGUAAUGUCAGUGUUACAAUACAUUAGGUAUUCUAAGAUCAGUUGUAAUGUCAGUGUUAUAAUACAUUAGGUAUUCUAAGCCCAGUUGUAAUGUCAGUGUUACAAUGCGUUAGGUAUUCUAAGCCCAGUUGUAAUGUCAGUGUUAUAAUACGUUAGGUAUUCUAAGCCCAGUUGUAAUGUCGGUGUUACAAUACGUUAGGUAUUCUAAGCCCAGUUGUAAUGUCAGUGUUACAAUGUGUUAGGUAUUCUAAGCCCAGUUGUAAUGUCAGUGUUACAAUGCGUUAGGUAUUUUAAGCCCAGUUGUAAUGUCAGUGUUAUAAUGCGUUAGGUAUUCUAAGCUCAAAUUUAAUGAUGGAAAAUUGCUGUAAUCACAGUAAUACCUUAGUCUCAGUGCCCUCAAAAUUAAAUAUUUACUCACGGCCAAACUGGCUGUGCCUUAUUUUGGUCAUCAUACUCGCACGACUCUUGAAAGUUGUUUUAUUACGAAAACAUGAAACCAUUCAUACCUAUUUAUGUUUCUUACACACCUGUUGGUGAGAACAUCAUUUGUUAUGUUUGAUAACACAUAGUUGUUUACACAUGUACGUGUUUUAACAAUUUCAAGACAUACGACUGGCUGCUCAUAGGUGAUGACCAGGUUACCAGUGCCAUACUGUCCAAUGAAAAAACAGCUCGAUCGAAAUCGAUUACACUGACGUAUAGUUAACCUGACAAUCCUUUGUCUAUGACACGUAAGUUAGCUGUGAACACGCUUUAGUUGGAAUAGAAAUGUAAAAAUUUGCUUAAAAUCUGGUUUUUGAGGCUAUAAAAGGAAUAAAAUAAUUUGUGUCUGUUAGAUACCAUUUAAUUUUACAACUUUCGCUCGUUAGAUACAUUUUAAAACAACUUGUAUGAUAAAUAGUAUCUAACGGCCACUCGUGUAUUAUUCUCUUUGUGCUGUUGUGUUGUAUUAAGACAUUUGUUAAAGUUUGCCUUCCAGCCAUAAUGUCCCCUAAAAAUCUCCAUUGGUCUAGGCCAAAUGCCUUGCCCUAUGAUUGGACAAAUUUGAGGCCUGUAUGUUUUAACAUCUUUCUUUUUUUCUUUUUCUUUUUUUUGUUUUACUGAAGAAAGGUUAUUCAUAGAGGUAUAGCAACAUUCAUGCAUUUAUGACAUCCAAUCUAUGAAUUAUAAAGGAUGGGAAAUACCUGCCAAUGCUUUGUCAUUGAUGAGCAAAUUGACUGAAAACGUCAGUGGUAGUUGCACAAUGUAUGUCUAACUGGGGACAUGCAGAAAACCAUGUAGCAGUGUUAUUUUCAAAUCCUAUCCACUGGCGUAUCCAGUAGCAGCAGCGACGGUUUAUUUAUAUAUAUCUAUAUAUAAAUGUGCGUGUGUGUGUAUAUAUAUAUAUAUAUAUAUAUGUGCGUGUGUGUAUAUAUAUAUCUAUAUAUAAAUGUGCGUGUGUAUAUAUAUAUAUAUAUGUGUGUGUGUGUGUGUGUGUGUGUGUGUGUGUCCCCCGCACACACUUUUUGGCACCUUCCUACACCACUGCAAUCUGUUGUUUUGUUUUUGUUUGGUUUGGAUGGUGCUGUUCCUAAUGGGCAUUAUUGACACUUCUCUCUGCUGAUGUGUUGUGCUGUGUGUUAUGACUAUUAAAGUCUUCAACUGUUGACUAUUUGACAGUAGCCAUUUACACAUACUCAGGAGGUACUUUAAAAAUAAGACACUUUACUAAUAAACUUUGGCAUAAACGAUUAACUUUUCAUUAAUUGUGUUCCAAUAAAGCAAAUACACCUUU